rnacentral:rRNA from 1 species
GAUGAACGCUAGCGAUAGGCUUAACACAUGCAAGUCGAGGGGCAGCACAAGGUAGCUUGCUAUCUGGGUGGCGACCGGCGCACGGGUGCGUAACGCGUAUGCAACUUGCCCUAUACAGGAGGAUAACCCGUCGAAAGACGGACUAAUACUGCGUAUGCUCACAACUUGGCAUCAAGUGGUGAGGAAAGAAAUUCGGUAUAGGAUAGGCAUGCGUCCCAUUAGCUUGUUGGUGAGGUAACGGCUCACCAAGGCAACGAUGGGUAGGGGAACUGAGAGGUUUAUCCCCCACACUGGUACUGAGACACGGACCAGACGUCUACGGGAGGCAGCAGUGAGGAAUAUUGGUCAAUGGGCGCGAGCCUGAACCAGCCAAGUCGCGUGAAGGAUGACUGUCUUAUGGAUUGUAAACUUCUUUUAGACGGGAAUAACAAGAGUCACGUGUGACUCCCUGCAUGUACCGUAUGAAUAAGCAUCGGCUAACUCCGUG